rnacentral:misc_RNA from 1 species
AACGGUCUAUACCUGCGGUACCUGCGGAGGGAUCAUUAACGCGCCGUGGAGGUUGCCUUUAAACAGGUCUGACCUUCCACCUGGCCACCCUUGUUUAUCUUUAACCUGUUGCCUUGGUGGGCCCGCUGCAAGGCCGCUGGAGAAUUUAAAAGUUUUCUGGCCCGUGCCCACCAAAGUCCUAGUGAACUCUUUGUUAAUUUUCUGCUGUCUGAGCAUUAAAAGAAACAAUUUUUAAAACUU